UCUCUGAACUGGGCAGCACAGUCUCAUUGCAGGGACAAAAUAUGGGCCUUUUUGUUCUGUUACAGAACAGAAAUUGGACUGAAUACACUGGAUGAGCAGUUGGGCAUUGACAGUAUCUGCAGGUUGUAGAAAGAUCAUGGGUGCAGGUAGAAGACAAGGUAAGGGUGUGCCUGGCUCCCUGUAUGCCACGUGAGAUUCUGAUCACCAUUUGAUUGGAAUCCUACGUGGCUUACCGGGAGCUAUGCACGCUUUGUUAACAUUUUUUUUUUUUUUUUCUCUUUUCUGUGUUCUUGUAUUGCAGGUGGGUGGAGAAUGAAUACUCAGAAGUUGUUUUGGAGACGGGAAAGCACAUUUAAAUGUAACAAAUCCAGUUAAACAGUUGUUUUCCUCUGCUGAUCCAAAUAAGCAAAGAAGGAUCUGUUUAUGUUAUUUCAGCUUACCAUGAUUCCUUGUAUGUUCUUUUGGGUGCCUCAGCAAUGAUAUUGCAUUUACUUGCCUUGAGUCCCCCUAACAUUGUUUUGUUAUAAAGUUAAGGAACAAUGAGAUCCAGUUUCAAUUUA